CCUACGGGUGGCAGCAGUGAGGAAUAUUGGUCAAUGGGCGGAAGCCUGAACCAGCCAAGUAGCGUGCAGGAUGACGGCCCUACGGAUUGUAAACUGCUUUUAUACGGGAAUAACGCGCCUUACGUGUAGGGCUUUGCAUGUACCGUAUGAAUAAGGACCGGCUAAUUCCGUGCCUGCAGCCGCGGUAAUACGGAGGGUCCGGGCGUUAUCCGGAUUUAUUGGGUUUAAAGGGAGCGUAGGCGGCAUGUCAAGCGUGCUGUGAAAGGUCCGGGCUCAACCCGGGCAUGGCAGCGCGAACUGGGGGGCUUGAGUACGGGGAAGGCAGGCGGAAUUCGUGGUGUAGCGGUGAAAUGCUUAGAUAUGACGAAGAACCCCGAUUGCGAAGGCAGCUUGCUGCAGCGGAACUGACGCUGAUGCUCGAAAGCGCGGGUAUCGAACAGGAUUAGAUACCCGAGUAGUC
rnacentral:rRNA from 1 species